rnacentral:lncRNA from 1 species
GCUCUUCUCCUUCCUGCCACCUUGUGAAGAAGAUAAAAAUAAAAAUGAAGUCACCAGCCCUCAGGGGUCUGUCAAGGCAACACACAAAAUCUCCAGUUACCUUCUGGUGGAUGACGUUUGGAGACACAUCGCGUCCGUCACAGGACACACUUCCGAUGGAUUUACAGCAACUCCUGGGGGUCACGAAGGUGUGUUCCAAGGCCACAUCUCCAACCUCACAGAGAGGACAGGAAGUGAUCAGUACCCCAACUAGCAAGAGUGGCCCGUUCAUUGGCCGAGGUUCUUGAGGAUAGAGUGGGAGGUGGGAGCGUCCCUCGUGCUGCCUUCAUUUUUCCUACCCUCAGCUCAGGGGUCUGUGCUAGAGGAAGACACACGAAGGCUACUGUGCCCCCACCACAAGAGAGGGAAACAGGGAGACGCGUGGGUCUGGAGCCAAGCGUAUCUCUCUGUACCCAUCGCACACGAAUUUGAAUCAUCUGCUCUUUGGAAUCGCCUACACCCUGCUGCACCCACGAUGUGGCUGUAACUCCAUUAAAGAAUUGAAUAUC